AGAGAGUAGUCAAGGACCCUGAGGUACAUUUUAUAGAAUUUUUGGUUGACAUUGUGUGGAUGUGGAUGCAUGGGACUAUACAUUUAUAAGAAUGAUUUGGAUACCGGAAUCAUGUUAGCGGGUUUGCCAUCUUGGCAGAACUUAAGUCUGAUCUACGUAUAAUGGUAUAUGCCUUUUAAAACAUUCUUUAGGGCAUGAUAGUUGUGUGCCUUGUAUAUUGAAACUCAUUUAUCGGAGUGUGUACAAGAGUCUUAUCAGUGAGUGCAGCCUGCAAUGAGGUUUGGCUUAGUGGCUAGGAACUGGC
rnacentral:misc_RNA from 1 species